rnacentral:sRNA from 1 species
CCAUACAUCAAAUAGCAUCAGCUGCUAAUCAGAGUCUGACUCGAUUGUUAAUAUCAACUUUUGUCUAACUGUACGAUCCUGCUCCUGCCCAAGUGAAAAACAAAAGAACUCAUAAAUCAGGAGCUGGUUAGUUCAUUCAUACCGUCUAAACCUGCCGUGCCAUCUUCACAGUUUGUCCUUUUCUGAGAAGCAUUUUUGCCAUUAGUUAAACUAUCUUGAGUGCUAAUGAUACUAAGAUUUGUCAAAUCCCCGGAUGUGUUUGAUGCUGCUGUUCCACCCAAGUUAACCCCUAAAAUUGGCUCGUGCAAAAAUUGAUGGUUGACAAUGAAAUUUUGCAUUUCGCAUUGAUUGUCUGUCACCUGUGUGCCUGCAGCAUCUUGAGAGCUCGAAGAUUCCCAAAAUGGCAGUUCCAGAUCAUCGAAACCGUCAAGAAAUGAAGUCACAUCUGGGCCGGCUCCUCUAGGUUGUUCCCCACAAAUUCCUGAAGCUUCAGGUGGGUUGGGUGGGAAUGCAUUCCCAUUGUCAUGUGCUGAACUGAAAUUAACAUCACCAGGUGAUAACACCAUAACAUUAUCAUCAUCUGAGUCACUCAGAACUAUUACAUCCUGCUCUGUUGGUGCUGGAGGAAAAUGUGCAUCCAUAGGAGAAGAAUCAAGAUCAUAGAUAUUGCUGGUUAGUUGAUCGAAUUGCCCUGGUUCUGGAUUAUAGAUUCCAUUUUUGCUGUUCUCAUCAUCAGUGUUGCUUGCUGAAACAACACAGUUUUCAUCUUCAAUAUAUCCAUUCUGACCAUUGUUAGAAUCCAAUCUCUUGUUAAUUUCCCACUGGCCAUUGUUGUUUCUUCUGAUUCCCAACUUAAGACGGCCACCUGUUUCUUCAGACAACGGUUCUUCUUUAAUCUCUUGCUUUACAAUUCUUAUGUUGGGCUUGGACCUUGUAUCUGUAGGCAUACAGAGAGUGCCAUCAGGUAAAUGCCACUGUGCAAGACCCUUCAGUUCUGCUCCACCCUUGACUCUCCAGGAACCGUCAGGCUUGACAUCAAUUUCAGAUACAUCAUCUCCACAACUUUGGACCUAGAUGAAGUUAUGCGGUUGAAGUAAGGAUCAAUGAUUAUGUUGUCCAAAGAGUAGUUUUUCAGGCAAAUUGGGCACUGCCACUGCAAACAAGAAGAAACAUAUUCCACAAAAGCUUCUAAAUCAAAACAACCCAUGUGAACGCAGGGUUUGAACCGGCCAGCUAUCUUGAUCCUUGAACCAGUCAUCUGGCAUCGGAGAUUCACAGAGACAGAAUCAGCUACAACUUCAAUAUCACUGUCACUGUCAGCAUUAUCUGCCUCGGUUCCACCACCAACACAGCGACGCACACGAGCAAGGGCAUUAUCAAAGUUCUCACCAUCUUGUUCCUUUGGCACCAAAGAUAGGACCUUUACCUGUUCUACAGAUCUCCUCUUGGCAAUCCUGACUCCCAAACAGAAUGUGCGAGAGUCACUUCUAGAUAGGACAAUCUUAUUAGACCCUUCUCUCACAUAUGCUAUGCUUACAACUGGACCAUCGUCUCUACCAUUCACCCCUAACUGUUGUGUGGGUUGCCUAAAACUCAGGCAUAUACCAUUAAUUUGAAUAUCAGAAUGUAAAGGCCACUGCAUCCUGAAAGGUACGCUAUCAUUGAAUAGGAUACACCAAACCUGCAUGUCAUAUUCAUCUUUCUGAAGCAUCUCCCAAUUAGCUCUUGAUAGCGGAAAGGUCUUCUCGAAAUACUAUAACUCACCCAUCAGAUGCUACUUUACAGGGAGUUAUUGAGACUGGAAGUACAGGAUGAUUAACAGUAACCCAGAAACUGCAACUCGAGUGAUUCGGCACAUAUCACAAUAAAAGUGUGGUGGUAAUUCUGGAGGAACACUGUCUGCAGGCUUCUCAGAUAUGAUAACGCAGCCUACAUGUUGCUGUGUAUUGCAUUGUGGACCUUCACACUUAAUCAUGGAAUCAUUGGCCAUGGAAUAACCACAGGGACAACGGACUUUGACAUCCAACUGAGCAGAAUCAUCUGACUUCCUUUUAGGCUUUACAAUGUGCCCCGAGUCAGUCUGAUUUCUAGAGGCUGGAACAGCAUUUGUGGAGCCAUUCAUUUUUCUGGAAGCAUGUCAUCAACUAUUUUAGCCACAGUUUCUUUCCCAACCAUCUUUUUGUUUGGCAAGCCAUUCAAUCUGGAGUCUGCAAGAACAAAAUGAAAUCAUGACCUUUUAUGAACAAACCUGUUUCCUUCCUUGCUUUGGAAGUCCAAGCUGAUGCAGGACAUCCUUUAGCUCUUUUAUUCUAAAGUGAUUCAACUUGUACUGCA